rnacentral:rRNA from 1 species
GCAGUCGCCACGGUAAUACGAAGGGGGCUAGCGUUGCUCGGAAUGACUGGGCGUAAAGGGCGCGUAGGCGGUUUUGACAGUCAGAUGUGAAAUUCCUGGGCUUAACCUGGGGGCUGCAUUUGAGACGUCAAGACUAGAGUGUGAGAGAGGGUUGUGGAAUUCCCAGUGUAGAGGUGAAAUUCGUAGAUAUUGGGAAGAACACCGGUGGCGAAGGCGGCAACCUGGCUCAUUACUGACGCUGAGGCGCGAAAGCGUGGGGAGCAAACAGGAUUAGAUACCCGCGUAGUCCCUGUCUCUUAUAC